rnacentral:rRNA from 1 species
UGGUCUGCAACUCGACCACACGAAGCUGGAAUCGCUAGUAAUCGCGAAUCAGCAUGUCGCGGUGAAUACGUUCCCGGGUCUUGUACACACCGCCCGUCACACCAUGGGAGUCAGCAACGCCCGAAGUCAGUGACCUAACCGAGAGGAAGGAGCUGCCGAAGGCGGGGCAGGUAACUGGGGUGAAGUCGUAACAAGGUAAC